rnacentral:rRNA from 1 species
GAUGAACGCUAGCGGCAGGCUUAACACAUGCAAGUCGAGGGGCAGCGCAGUGUAGCAAUACAUGGGCGGCGACCGGCGCACGGGUGCGUAACGCGUAUCCAACCUUCCCGUUACUCAGGGAUAGCCUUCCGAAAGGGAGAUUAAUACCUGAUGGUGUUCAAAUUCCGCAUGUUAUUUGAACUAAAGAUUUAUCGGUAACGGAUGGGGGAUGCGUGACAUUAGAUAGUAGGCGGGGUAACGGCCCACCUAGUCUACGAUGUCUAGGGGUUCUGAGAGGAAGGUCCCCCACACUGGAACUGAGACACGGUCCAGACUCCUACGGGAGGCAGCAGUGAGGAAUAUUGGUCAAUGGUCGGAAGACUGAACCAGCCAAGUAGCGUGAAGGAUGAAGGUUCUAUGGAUUGUAAACUUCUUUUAUACGGGAAUAAAACCACCUACGUGUAGGUGCUUGUAUGUACCGUAUGAAUAAGCAUCGGCUAACUCCGUG